UACAGAGACUGCAAGCGUUAUUCGGAUUCACUGGGCGUAAAGGGUGCGCAGGCGGCCGUGUGUGUGAGGCGUGAAAGCCCGGGGCUUAACCCCGGAAUUGCACCUCAAACUAUAUGGCUAGAGCAUUGGAGAGGGUAGCGGAAUUCACGGUGUAGCAGUGAAAUGCGUAGAUAUCGGGAGGAACACCAGCGGCGAAGGCGGCACUCUGGGCUGGUACUGACGCUGAGGAGCGAAAGCGUGGGUAGCAAACAGG
rnacentral:rRNA from 1 species